rnacentral:rRNA from 1 species
GACGAACGCUGGCGGCGUGCCUAAUACAUGCAAGUCGAACGCUUUUUCUUCCACCGGAGCUUGCUCCACCGAAAGAAAAAGAGUGGCGAACGGGUGAGUAACACGUGGGUAACCUGCCCAUCAGAAGGGGAUAACACUUGGAAACAGGUGCUAAUACCGUAUAACACUAUUUUCCGCAUGGAAGAAAGUUGAAAGGCGCUUUUGCGUCACUGAUGGAUGGACCCGCGGUGCAUUAGCUAGUUGGUGAGGUAACGGCUCACCAAGGCAACGAUGCAUAGCGGAGCUGGGAGGGGGAUCGGCCACACUAGGACUGAGCCACGGCCCAGACUCCUACGGGAGGCAGCAGUAGGGAAUCUUCGGCAAUGGACGAAAGUCUGACCGAGCAACGCCGCGUGAGUGAAGAAGGUUUUCGGAUCGUAAAACUCUGUUGUUAGAGAAGAACAAGGAUGAGAGUAAAACGUUCAUCCCUUGACGGUAUCUAACCAGAAAGCCACGGCUAACUACGUGCCAGCCGCCGCCGUAA